GCCGGGAAGGAGAGUUGUAGGAAAAUAAAACAGCAUUAGGGCCAUUUCACGUUAGCAGCGACAGAGUAGUCCCUUCUCAGGUGAAUGAGGCAAGGAGCAGAGGCAUGUAAGACAGGCGGGGCAACUGUCAUGCAAAUGGACGAAACCCCGGGAAGGUGCUACUCAGCCGGCGGGCGUAAUCCUACCUUUAGCGAACGUGAAAGCGGGGAAAGCCGUAAAGCAGGCUGCGGGAAGCUGCAAAGCAGGCGCGGGGAAGCCGCAAAGUAGGCGUCGCAAACAUACCUCUGAUCAGGAAGCCGGGGGAGCUACUAGGCCGUGGCCCAAACGUACCGUUGCGGAUUCGACUCACGGUUCUCUACCAGGUUUCAUCCAUAUCCUUUGAUGAAUCCUCUCUGGCAUCUUCAGCAUCCAUGGCAACAAUGAAACACAUAAGCCAAUAUCAUACCAUGAAGAGCUGGCAAGGAUUUCAAGCCCGGGAGGUAGCAGCAUCUCAAGUAACCCUGAGAGAACUGCUCCAAGGAGGCGAGGGCGCAGCCGCGGCUACUUUGCAGCGGGUUCGGGCCAGGCCCAGCCUGCGGCAGCAACAGCGGGUCUCGGACCGACCGUGAGCCUGGGGAGUUUGUCUCCAACGACUGCGGGUGCAGCGGCCUGAGUUCUAAGCGCAGAUCUCUUACCUCCUGACAUCUAAUCCAUGUGUCCCCACAGCAAUCUCCCCAGCUCCUUGCCUGUGAAACUUCAUGAUAGGUUAUAACAGGGAAAUGAAGGGACUAACCUCACCAAAAUGGCAUAAUGACUAUUGAAACUGAGACCAUCUGAACAAACAGCAGCUGCUGGGAAAAAAAAAAAACACUAAAAAACCAAAAAAUUUUCUCUGAACUUCCCUUUGAUAAGUAAAGCAGGUCUUUCUAAGUAUUCAGCUGCUGUAAGCCCUCUCUUGCAUCAGGACCUGCCAAGGAACUGCGUAAAUACAUCCUGGGAGAACCUUCCAUACUUUCCCACUGAGGCCUUAAUACUGUUCCCCACCCCACCCCCAUCCUAUUAAGCUGGUAUAUAAAUCCUUACUCCCUACAGCAUGCUCUUGCCUACAUGUAUAAUAAUCUUGGCUCCUAUUAAUCUGUCUGUUAAUUCACAGGCCCCCAAGUACUUCACCCUAAGUUGGUAAAGAAAAAGUUUUCGUCCCAGUAACACUUUUUAAACUUUUCUUGAUACACCAGAGAAUGUGUUCAAAUACAUAAGGGAAUUUGGAAACCUUGAUUUUGUUGGAAGGUGAAAGAAUCCAGUGUACAUGUACACAGGCUCUGUAGAAAUCCUUUUAAAUUUGACUCAAACUGUGUUUAAUAACUGACUGAAAACUUUCUUUUUAUUUCCCUUAGGGAGAAAGCUGUAGACCAUUUAAUCUGGGAUGAUCUGCUGUACUCUCCUGAUUUCCCGUGAGCAUUUAAUCUACGGUCUAAAGGGUCGUUUGUCUGGUAUGAGUUGUAGCUGUCUUAUGAUUAUGGGCAGCAGCAGCGAGGGGGGCUGUAGGGACCAAGUGGAGGUAGCAUUUAUCGUAUUGCACGUGUCACUCCGUUGCUCCUGUCCUUACAUUAUUCCAUUUAGUUCUCACACAGUGUUCUUCCCGUUUUACAGAUGAAUAAAUUGGAAGGGUAGAUAACUUGCUAAAGAUUAUGCCAUUACUGGGACUUCCUGGUGGUCCAGUGGUUAAGACUCCGCACUCCCAAUACAGGGUGCACGGGUUCAAUCCCUGGUUGGGGAACUAAGAUCCCACGUGCCGUGCAGCACAGCCAAAAAAAAAAAAAGACUAUACCAUUACUGAAAAUAAGAGCAAGAUGCAGAACUGGUAUCGAGUGUGCAACCUUUCAUAGAGCAGAGGAAAGAAGAAAAAAUACACAGUCAUUCCUUGGAGAUAUUGCGGGUUUGGUUCCAGACCACUGCAAUAAAGGGAGUCGCACAAAUAUUUUGGUCUCCCUGUGUAAAUAAAAGUUAUGUUUCCACUAUACUGUAGUUUAUUAAGUAUGCAGUAGCAACAUAUCUAAACAACAAUGCACAUCCCUUUAUUAAAAAUAGUUUCUUGCUAGAAAAUGCUAACCAUCACCUGAGCCUUCAUUAAGUCAAUCUUUUUUGCAAUAGUGACUUCACAGAUCACCGUAAGAAAUAUAAUAAUAAUGAAAACGUUUGAAAUAUUGCGAGAGUUGCCAAAAUGUGACACAGAUGCAAAGUGAGCAAAUGCUGUUGGAAAAAUAGAACCAACAGACUUGCUCCACACAGGGUUGCCACAAACCGUCAAUUUGUAAAAUAUGCAGUAUCUGCAAAGUGCAAUAAAGUGAAGCAAUAAAACGAGGUAUGCCUGUAUGUAUACGUACAUAUACUUAGCUUUGCAAAAAGACAACUGAAAGUUGAAUAUAAGCGAACUAAUGAACAUUAUAGCAAAUUGACAACUUCACAUAGAGAAAAUUAUUUCAAAAGUUAUUUCAAGCUGUGCCGAAAAAUGAACAGUAUUCUGGGUACAUCCUUAGAGGUGGGUUUAUUGUUCAUAGUGAUAUUGGUAUCAAAAGAAGAUAAAAUAUGGAAACUGUUCCAGUGGUACAGGGCAUAGUAAGAGGGGGGGGCUCCUGAGCAGAAGUCCUCUAUUGUUCCUUUCCUGUGUGUGUAAGCAAACAGUAGUUAAACUCUUGCACUGAAACUAGAGAAACCAUUAAAAGAUGAGCGUUCUGCUUUCAGUAUUGGGUAUUUUGUGGUACCUGGAUAGAUGAGGGUCAUGGGAUGCUGAAUUAGAGUGGCAGGAGUGUUCUAAGCAAUUGGGGGAAGUGAUCGGAAAAGAAAUCUAGAUUCUUGACACAAUCUCAAUUUUCUUCUGUAAAAUGGAGAAAAACAGUAAAGGGUAGGUAGGCCACCACUGCUUUCUCCGUGGCCUUUUUGACAAGAACUGAUACAAAGUUUAUUGUUAACGAAUUUCCUUUCAGGAGAAGAUUGAUAGCUACUGACCCUUGGAAUUCAGUGCUCAAGGGUCACUUUUAAAGAGGUUUGAGACACACUAGAUUAUAAACUUAUUUGUAUACCUAUUGUCUGUUCCCUGGUAGAAUGUAAGCUUCACAAGGACAGGCAUAUCUGUUGAAUCACAAUGAAGAGGGUUGUGGUGAGGAUUAAGUAAUGCAUGUAAAGCUGACCUUGGGCAUUGCUUAACUAAACGUAAGAUAGAGCUCACUUACAGCCAAUGUGAGUAGCAGGUUUGAACUUUGGCACUGGUUGUUGUCAGAUGUAAAUUUCCAAAAACUUAUGAAUAAAGUUGAUUAUAUGCCAUUUUGGAGUUCUGAUCAUGGCUUACUUUGUUUCCCUUUUCAAGUAUUCGGGUACAUUAGAAACCUUAAUGCAUACAUGCAAAUCUACUUAUUCAGCCCUUGUUUCACACCAUUGAGUUCUAACAAAGUUAGGAGGAAAAGUUGUGAAAUGAGAGUGUAGUAAUUGGAAUGUUAGAAAAUGUCUCUUGGAAGGAUAAGGUCUUCUGUCAACUGGCAUGAGUGAUUUUCAGGUGUGUUUAGCCACACAAUAUUGCGUUAAAGGAUAUGCACCUUUUCUGCUUCCUUAUGUAAAGUUUGUAGGGCAUGAAAAGUUACAGAAAAUAGUUGCAAAAUUAUUAAUGGACACAUUUUUGAUACUUGGAUCUUAAGUUAUUUUGUAGGAGGGAUACUCUCUUUCCAUCAUUUUGUAACAGAUGGAGCACAAGAUACAUUAGUUGGCAAAAGAGUUUAUUAGCCAACUGAAAAUCCUCAGAUAUUUUAACAUUUCAUUGAAUUAUUUAUCAACAUUUACCAAGACUCAAUGAAAGAUGCCAGAAAGCAGGGGCCAUUGUAAUCAAUUCUGUUAGAAUUAACAGUAAUCCUUUGAAUGAUAUUUGUUACAAUGAUAAAUGAUUUGAACACCUUAAUCUACAAAUAGAAUUAAGAUGGGAGACAGCUUCAAGAAGCACUUGAAUUGUGUUCCACCAGACUACCAAAUAGGGGAGACUUAUCAAGGCAAAAACGGCAAGGUCACAGUUGUUACAUAACUUGUUUAUCAAGAAUUAUAGUGGGAGCUGGCAGGAAGUAAGGGUGCUUGUUAAAUAAGGAUUGAUUGGGGUCUGAAAUGGUUGCAUGGUUACACGGGGGAACAACCUUGAGAUAAGGUUGCAGCUAGCAGAUGGUUUAAAAAUGGCUGGUGGGAAAGAAGAUAUACAGAUUGCCAACAAACAGAUGGAAGGAUGCUCAACAUCACUAAUCAUUAGAGAAAUGCAAAUCAAAACUACAAUGAUGACUUCCCUGGUGGCGUAGUGGUUAAGAAUCCGCCUGCCGAGGCAGGGGACACGGGUUCGAGCCCUGGUCCGGGAAGGUCCCACAUGCUGCGGAGCAACUAAGCCCGUGCACCACAACUACUGAGCCUGAACCCUAGAGCCGGAGAGCCACAACUACUGAGGCCCGCGCACCUAGAGCCCGUGCUUCACAGCAAGAGAAACCACCUCAGAGAGAAGCUCGCGCAGCACAACAAAGAGUAGCCCCCACUCGCUGCAACUGGAGAAAGCCUGUGCACAGCAACGAAGACCCAAUGCAACUAAAAAUAAAUAAAUAAAAAUUAAAAAAAAAAACAAAACGACAAUGAGUUA